UACGUAGGCAGCGAGCGUUGUUCGGAGUUACUGGCGUAAAGAGCGCGUAGGCGGAAGCUUAAGUGUGGCCUGAAGCCCGGCUCAACCGGGAAGGUGCUGCAACUGGUUCUUGAGGCGAUAGGAGAGCGGAAUUCCUGGUGUAGCGGUGAAUGCGUAGAGAUCAGAGACACGAUGCGAAGCAGCUCUCUGGUCGCCUGACGCUGAGCGCGAAGCGUGGAGCGAACGG
rnacentral:rRNA from 1 species